UACGAAGGGGGCUAGCGUUGUUCGGAAUCACUGGGCGUAAAGGGCGCGCAGGCGGCCAUUCAAGUCAGAUGUGAAAGCCCCGGGCUCAACCUGGGAGGUGCAUUUGGGACUGGAUGGCUUGAGAUCGGGAGAGGAGAGUGGAAUUCCCAGUGUAGAGGUGAAAUUCGUAGAUAUUGGGAAGAACACCGAUGGCGGAGGACGGCGCUCUCGAGCCGAUACUGACGCUGAGGCGCGAAAGCGUGGGGAGCAAACAGG
rnacentral:rRNA from 1 species